CAAAGGUGGGCUUGGACCGCGGGCCGAGCCCAAAAGAAGCUGGGGCGGGGCGGGUUUGGGCCGACAAAUUGAUGACCCGCGAUGUUGCGGGCUUGGCGGUUUAGGGACUGUGCGGGAUGGGCUUUGAGCGGGCCGGGCCUAUAGAAUCCGCGGGUUAACCUAAAGAGACCGCAGUCUUCUUCUCUCAUUUCCUCAGCAGCUCCGCCACCUGAAAAAACAAAAGAGAGAGAGAGAGAGAGACGAACGCGACUCGGCGCCACAAGAAAGAGAGCUCCGGCCAUGGUUUCCUCCGGUGAAGCUUCUUCUAGUCUUCCAUUCGCCUUUAAUCUCCUCCGGUGAAGCUUCUUGGAGCCGUAACUAGGAGUUUGUGAAGUAUCUGUCAAAGAACUCCGCUUCCACCGUAAACCAAGAUCCAUCUCCGGCGAAGGUUUCUUCUGCGACGGUGACCCCAUGCAUGUCACAGAUACUGAACCAGAAAGCUAUGUAGACCGGUUCCAGAGAUUAGGACAGAGGACAUAUUUUUUUUUUCUUGGCGUUGAAACUGGUGGUGACCGAGUACGCGGAUGGUGUCUAUUAGGUGAAAAGAAUAUAUGAUUGUAAACAAGUAGGCGGAUGGUGGCGACGGUAAAAGCUGCUGUAGGCUCAAAACGAUAGAGAAGGUGUUCACUUGAUGUAUGUUUUGGUCGUACACCAGCUUGGACCGUCGCCACCACCUGCCUCCUUGUUUAGUGAAGAAGAUUUCAACACCGAGCUGCAAAGAUCACCGAGCUGCAAAGAUUGUAAGGUGUUACCACUCUGAAACUUUAAGCUUCUUGAAUUAUAUAAUAGGUUGAUCCUUAUUUGAGGUCAUUUGUUUUUGUCUCUGAUAUGUCUUUUCUUUUUGUAGGUGAAGAAGGAGGAAGCUCGUAAUGACCGUGAAGGCUGUGUAAGUUGUCUAUAAUUCUUAGUUUCAUUUAAACUAUCCUUGAUUCACUCUCUGAUUUGUGUUUUUAUUUUGUAUGUGUUGAGAUGAUGAGUGAUGGUGAACAAGGAAGGAGACUUAUGGAGUUAUGGUGAGCAAGGAGAUGAUGAGUGAUGGUGAACAAGGAAGGAGGAGACCAGUACAUACAGCAGCUGCUCCAGUAUAGCCGCUUUAAGGACCUCAGGU